CUCAAGAUGGCUGCCUGGCAUUCCUCAACAAAAUGUAUGCCUACCUCACUCACUGUUACCCAGGCUUCAUCCCUGGCCUAAUAGAUUGGUCUCCAUCUGGCUUAUGCUUGCCCUCAGAAAAAACAUUUGGUCUAAGCAACUGUUCUGCUGCCGAGAGUCCACUGGUUGUCCUUUGCCAUCGAUUAUGCUAACACCGUACAGAGUCAACAGGAGGUUCACCAAGUUCUCUGCAUCUGUGGAGCCUACAUUUUAUAUCCUCGGAGUUUCAGUCCCUCCUCUAUUUCAAAUAUUACAUUACAGCUUCAGCUUUCCAUGGGACAAAGACUGUCUUGUCACCUUUAAAAUCAAGAGGUUCACUGUGACUCAGCUGCUUGCCAUAUGGCACCACUUGGCCAUAUCAAAGCAAGUGAACGUGGAGGAGGCUUCUGGGUGAAUCAAGAGCUGCAACACAUGGGGAAACAGGUGGCCUGUUCGCAGCCCUUACAAAUCCUGAUAUUUCCCUUUCUCCACUUGUAAUUUGAUUUGAAACCAAGCUGCACAUGACCCAAGAGGCCCAAAACUGAAUUUAUGCAACAGGGCACUCCAUCUUCUUGUUAAAGUAUUUUAUUUAAAAGAUACAACAACUUGGUAAAAUAUAUUUGGAUUACUUAUUCUAAGUAUUGUGGCAUUGUUAGUUUCUAUAUACAGUUCAACAUGAGGCACUAGUUUACUUUGUUACAUAGACUUCUAAUCAAAACUUAGGUAUGGUACAUAUAAAACAUAAAUAUACAUCAAAAUAUGAUAUAUAAAAGACGCUGGGGCUUCUGCACUCUCAUACCAACAUGGCUGAUGUCUUAUGUUGCUUGUAGUGCUGCUGGAUAGAACAUUUUAAAAGAAAAAAUAGAAUUUAUGUAAAAGCCAUUUCAUAAUGAAUGGGAAUAAACUUCAUGAAGGAAAAACAUGUACAAGGAACUUUCCGAUGCUGGAAUAACAUCUGUGUUAUAAAUGAAUGCCAUACUAGAACCAAUCCACUUCUUCCCAUAAUCCAAAAAGAAUGUAUGGCAUCUGCAGUCCUGUGAUGUGAUAGCAUAAAUUUCACAAGAUAGUUAGAGAGUUAGGGCUGGAUAAAUCCACCUUUUUGAAGUAGAGUCUGGUUUAGAAGGAUAUUUGUUUGAACCAGCAAGGGAUAAGUUCUCAAACAUCAAUUGAUCUGUUUGCUGUAUUUUCCCCACCCUUUACAAAUCCCGCAUAAUAAAAUGGCAAAUUUUAGUGAGUUUAAAAAGUCUCUAGUGAAAAUAAACCUGUUUGCUGAUUGCCUUUCUUUUUCUCUCACGAUUUGCUCUCUGCUGAGACCUAACUUUCUAAACUGAUUCAGGAGAAACAUCUCAAGAUAGGAAAUGAUCAUAUCGGCAAAGCCACACUUAGAUUAUUAAGGGAACAUUCCAAUGAUUGCAGCGAUUCGGUGGUUCAAUGAGAAUCUCCACAUCCAAAAAGAAUGCAGCACCUUGGAGAGCUCCUCUAAAGUCUCGUUUCAGAAGAAAACUCAAAGAUCAACUUUGCCUUCAACAGAACUGGCAGCUUCGAUCAAUAGACACUCCCUUCAAAUGCAUUCAGAAACUACAAAGAAACUAUUUACAAAGUCUGUAUCUUCCAUUGUGAUGUUUAGAAUUCAUGCACCUUUUUUAUUUACUUAACUUUUGUGCCUCAAUAAAAAUAUUUUUGCAUCUUUAA